rnacentral:rRNA from 1 species
AGAACGAACGCUGGCGGCGUGGAUAAGACAUGCAAGUCGCACGGGGCUUUAUCUGUAGCAAUACAGGUGGAGUUCAGUGGCGUAAGGGUGCGUAACACGUGGGCAAUCUGCCGGGAAGCGGGGGAUAGCUCGCCGAAAGGCGAAUUAAUACCGCAUGUGGUUAGUGAAGGAUUCUUCGCAAUACCAAAGCCGGGGACCGAGCAAUCGGCCUGGCGCUUCCUGAUGACGCCCGCGGCCUAUCAGCUAGUUGGUGAGGUAACGCUCACCAAGGCUAUGACGGGUAGCUGGUCUAGGAGAGGACGACCAGCCAACACUGGAACUGAGACGCGGUACCAGACACCGUAGGGUGCAGCUAGUCGAAGUAUUUUC